AUUGAACGCUGGCGGCAGGCCUAACACAUGCAAGUCGAACGAGUGGCGGCCGGGUGAGUAAUGUCUGGGAAAAUGCCUGAUGGAGGGGGAUAACUACUGGAAACGGUAGCUAAUACCGCAUAACAUCGGAUGCACCCGGAUGGGAUUAGGAUGUAGGUGGGGUAACGUCUCACAUAGGAGACGCUACCUAGCUGGUCUGAGAGGAGGACCGUCCGAACUGGAACUGUGACACGGUCCAGACUCCUAUGGUAGGCAGCAGUGGGGAAUAGUGCACAAUGGGCGCAAGACUUAUGCAGCCAUGCCGCGUGUAUGAAGAAGGCCGUCGGGUUGUAAAGGACUUUCAGGUGGGAGGCGUUACCCGCAGAAGAAGCACCGGCUAACUCCGUGCCAGCAGCCGCGGUAAUAC
rnacentral:rRNA from 1 species